rnacentral:lncRNA from 1 species
AUGUUAUUUAAUUUCUCUGUACCUCAGUUUUCUUACCUGCAAAGUGGAGAUGAUAAUAGUACCUAUUUUAUGGGUUUUGUGGGGUGUUGAAUAAAUAUAUAUGGAGUGCUUUCAACAUUGUCUGGCAAAGAGCAAGCACUCAAUGAACCUUAGCUACCAUCCUCCUCCUCCUCCUCCUCCUCAUCAUGCUUUUCUACAUCUUACAAAAUAUCUGCAGUAAGUCCAGCUACCUACGCACAAUAUUUUAAAAAAGAAAUAUCACAUAGCUAGGGGAACAUAACCUUUUAGGUCAAUAAAGUGAAACAAAAUUGGGAAGAUGUGUGGUGAGAUACCAUGAAAAGGAGGUUGCUGAUAUAGACACAGGAGGGAUGGGAAAGAAAACAAGGGAAGGAGAAAGAAAAAGAGUUGAAAAGGAGGGGACAGAUGAUGGACUGGCAAGAAUUAGGGAUGGGGAGAGCCAGGCAUAUGUAUUCAAAGUUGCUCCAUGGAACUCGACCUCACUGCUCUAACACCUUGAGGAGGGCACUCACAGAAUUGCAACUGCUCCCCACUCCCUUACCCAGUCUGUAAAGGGGCAGUGGGUGGGCAGGGGGAAGUGAGUAGGAGUAAAAGCAGGAAUCGAAAGGUGAGAAAAUGGAAGCUGAGAAAGGUAAAUUGGCCUGUGAAGGUCCCAGCUGUUGCUGGCAACCCCGGGUCUAGAACUCAGCUUUCAGGAUAUCCAGACCCUUUCCAAAACCCCUCCACCCAACUGACCAAUUUCUGUACCUUGCAGCAUAAAUGUAAAACCUCACCCAAUAAUUUAGAAUCUGCACCUUGGCCAUUAGGAUGGAACAAAGAUGCUGGCCAAAGUUUCCAUCAGUGACCCAUGGAAGUCUGGCAAAAACCCAUAUGUUACCAUCUGCCCUCUACUGCCCUCUUGCCAGCUCCCAAACCUUCUGGUGCUGUUUUCUAGACCUGUCUAGAGAACAGUCAGGGCAGGCACCAAGCCAUUUGCUUCAUCAGUUAAUAAGACAUUGUGUUUGCUGUGCAAAAUGUAAGGGGAAGAAUCCAUUGGGUAUUCAAGUUUUACACCAGCCAGUGGACACGUGCAGUCAGAGUGCCCUGGCUGAGCAAGACUCAGAAACGUCCUCCUCUUCUAAGCUGAUGGGCUUACCAUCUAGAACCAUAGGCUCAAUGAAAAUGCUAUUUUUGCUUUUUGGGGAGGACAUCUAUAGAAUAUUUGGUACUAUAAUUUGCAAACAGUGGUCAGACUUAAGUAUAUAUUUAAUAUGUGGGGAUAGCUCUGUGUUAUUUUUUUCUGCCACUCAUGCUGGCUCAAACAUGUGCCCUGUAAGGGAAACUUUCAUUUGUUUGCAUGUGUUUUGGUUUGUAAAAGGUGGGAGUAAGCCCUGCAAGUCAACCUCUGUCAUCAUACAAGGGGCAUUCCAGGGGCCUCCUUACCAGGCUACCUUGGAGAUGUCCAGACCCAAGAUGCUCAGUCUAACUUUGAUCAGAGUCAGUUUAAUACAAGGAACAGGGAGAAUGUAGAAUUGACAUCCAUUAAUUAAGACUAUUUAAUGAUAUUUUCUAAGGAAAAAGGUGUGAGUUGUGUCAUCUGCUAUCUGGCAGCCACCAAAACCAAACCCCCACCCCAGCAGUGAACAAAGAUUGGCACCCAGGGAAGAUCAUGGGAUGGUAUCUCUUGCCAUACUUGGGCUGGUAUGGAGUCUGAGACACUGUUUCUUAAAAUACCACAUUCUUUGAGAGGAGGGUUAGUGUAAAAAUCAGGGCCCCCUGAAUCGGUCUAAUUUAUGCUUCUAGGAGUAUUAUUCUCUUCUAAUGCCAAAGCUUCACGACACCUGAGAAAAUAAAUAGGAAUGUCUUUGUGGUUGUGAACUUGAAGUGAAUGACAAUUUUGAGAGACAUACGAAAAUUUUAUUUCCUUAUUUUCCUCAUUCCUCUUAAGAUUGUGGUCUGAACUUGCUCACGUCUAAGACCUUUCUCAGAGGGCUUCUGGGAGCCUCCUCUCCCUUUGUUCCCUCUCGUCGGCGGGGAGUCACUGUGGAGCGAUACAGCUCAACACCAGCAGAUGGCAUGUGGCGUCAGGUUCCCGGCACUUGAACCUGGGAAAGCCAUCUUUUCUCAAUGGAGAAAUUCUAACUUUUAGUUAGGAAUUAAAAGUGAAAUUGUUUUAGCCAUUAGAUGCUGCGUUUGAUCAUCUAGCUGUGUCUUUCUAUGCCAUCUAGUUCAUCUGGGGUGGAAACAAGACCAAUAACUAAGACACUGUUUCAUUCAUUUCUUAAACUAGAAAUGGAUACGGCUCACCCUGUUCCGUGAUUGUCCAGGACAUUCUGGGAACCUCAUAGGAUGCUGAGGAAUGAAAUAACACGACCAGCAAAAAAUAUAUUCUGGGAAGAAGAAAAGAGAAUUUGAACACCUUCCCGGUGUGUUCUGAGCAUAGAAGCAGGUGCCCUUACCACCCUUGCCAUUCUCCUUUCCCAGCCCAGCAAAGAUGCCUGGGGUCAAAGCGGAAUGUCGUAGAAAGGCUGCUCCUGGAGUAUCGUUAGAGAUGGCCAAAAACAUCACUUGGGGUUUUUUGAAGAUAGGUUAUUUUCACAGUUAGCAAUAAGAAUUUAACUUGAUCUCUUGUUUUCUGGCCAGCAUUUUGGCACCCCCUCCUCUAGGCCUUGUAUCCCCAGCCUGGAACCUCUGUAGAGAAGAAACUUCUAGUCUUGUAAGGGAAGAAGAGGGAAGAAGGGACAGGUGUAAAUGCUUGGCUUCAUGGGUGUGGAUGAAGGAACACAGAGGGCUACCUUCCAAAGAUCUUCAACCAAACCAUGUUUCAGCCUCCUGCUCCACCCUCACUUUCUAGAGUACACAGUAUCCCUAAGGCCUGACUCUUUCAGGAGCUCUUAGGAGAAAAUCACUCAUUAGAAAAAAGUCUUCUUUAGCAGGUACCUACCAUUCUCCGUGUUCAUAGCUUCCCACGUGGUUACUUCCCCAAGGAAGCGUUUCCUAGCAUCUCUCACAGGUAGGGAGCAGACAUGUGACCUAAGAUUUCACCAGUCAACCACAGCCCCUGAAAUGAGGAAACAGAUGAGGUUUUGAGCACUGUGCAUCUGAGUGGCAGAUGAAAGUGGCAGCAAAGAGUGGUGGUAGCAACAGCAUCCUCAUUAGGACACCUCUGUGGGACCUUCUGAGCUGUACUCCUAGGAGCCUAGCCUUGAGCCUCUUUUUCUCUAGACCUCCCACUGAGUCACCGAGCUGCUAAUAUCUCUUAAUGAAUGCUGCUUAAACCAGCAUGAGUGGAUUCUAUGGUUUGCAACUAACAGAAGAUAUGGAAAGAAAAAA